rnacentral:rRNA from 1 species
UACAGAGGCCCCAAGCAUUAUCCGGAAUCACUGGGCGUAAAGGGUGUCCAGACGGCUAUAUUAGUCUUCCGUAAAAUCCGUAGGCUUAACCUACGGUCCGCGGAGGAAACGGUAUAGCUCGAGGGCGCGAGAGGUAGAGGGAACUCACGGUGGAGGGGUGAAAUCCGUUGAUAUCGUGGGGAACACCAAAGGCGAAGGCACUCUACUGGCGCGUUCCUGACGUUCACACACGAAAGCCAGGGGAGCGAACGGG